rnacentral:rRNA from 1 species
GAUGAACGCUGGCGGCGUGCCUAAUACAUGCAAGUCGAGCGAACAGAUGAGGAGCUUGCUCCUCUGACGUUAGCGGCGGACGGGUGAGUAACACGUGGAUAACCUACCUAUAAGACUGGGAUAACUUCGGGAAACCGGAGCUAAUACCGGAUAAUAUAUUGAACCGCAUGGUUCAAUAGUGAAAGACGGUUUUGCUGUCACUUAUAGAUGGAUCCGCGCCGCAUUAGCUAGUUGGUAAGGUAACGGCUUACCAAGGCAACGAUGCGUAGCCGACCUGAGAGGGGGAUCGGCCACACUGGAACUGAGACACGGUCCAGACUCCUACGGGAGGCAGCAGUAGGGAAUCUUCCGCAAUGGGCGAAAGCCUGACGGAGCAACGCCGCGUGAGUGAUGAAGGUCUUCGGAUCGUAAAACUCUGUUAUUAGGGAAGAACAAAUGUGUAAGUAACUAUGCACGUCUGGACGGUACCUAAGCAGAAAGCCACGGCUAACUACGU